rnacentral:misc_RNA from 1 species
ACCUUAAAGAAGCGUACUUUGCAGUGCUCACACAGAUUGUCUGAUAGAAAGUGAAAAGCAAGGCGUCUUGCGAAGCAGACUGAUACGUCCCCUUCGUCUAGAGGCCCAGGACACCGCCCUUUCACGGCGGUAACAGGGGUUCGAAUCCCCUAGGGGACGCCACUUGCUGGUUUGUGAGUGAAAGUCGCCGACCUUAAUAUCUCAAAACUCAUCUUCGGGUGAUGUUUGAGAUAUUUGCUCUUUAAAAAUCUGGAUCAAGCUGAAAAUUGAAACACUGAACAAUGAAAGUUGUUCGUGAGUCUCUCAAAUUUUCGCAACUCUGAAGUGAAACAUCUUCGGGUUGUGA